GUCCGGUUCGUCUAUCGGUAGGACCACUGUUUUUCACGCAGUAGAGGCGGGUUCGACUCCCGCACCGGGUACCA
rnacentral:tRNA from 1 species